GACGAACGCUGGCGGCGUGCUUAACACAUGCAAGUCGAACGGAAAGGCCCUGCUUUUGUGGGGUGCUCGAGUGGCGAACGGGUGAGUAACACGUGAGUAACCUGCCCUUGACUUUGGGAUAACAUCAGGAAACUGGGGCUAAUACCGGAUAGGAGCUCCUGCUGCAUGGUGGGGGUUGGAAAGUUUCGGCGGUUGGGGAUGGACUCGCGGCUUAUCAGCCUGUUGGUGGGGUAGUGGCUUACCAAGGCUUUGACGGGUAGCCGGCCUGAGAGGGUGACCGGCCACAUUGGGACUGAGAUACGGCCCAGACUCCUACGGGAGGCAGCAGUGGGGAAUAUUGCACAAUGGGCGGAAGCCUGAUGCAGCAACGCCGCGUGCGGGAUGACGGCCUUCGGGUUGUAAACCGCUUUCGCCUGUGACGAAGCGUGAGUGACGGUAAUGGGUAAAGAAGCACCGGCUAACUACGUG
rnacentral:rRNA from 1 species